UGGAGAUCUACUGCACAGCUGGAUGGGUGGAUUCCUGAGUCUGGGGGAUCUACCACACAGCUGAGAUCCGUUGCUCAGCCAAGCUGGACUAUUUCUUCGUACAUCCAGCUGCAUUGGCUUUGAAAUGGGCAAGAAGAAAGCUGGGCAGGGAGAUGGUGUGUCCAGGGGAUCAUGAAGGAGCUUAGCUGACAAGCCUGGUUUUAUAACACACACUGCAGUUGCCUGAGUGAACACGCAUGUGGCUGAGACUCUGGUUGGUGUGUGGCGUUGGUCCCCACUCCUGACAGUGGAAUGAGCCCCUGGCAAAAGCCAUCUCAGUGCUUGCGUUUUGCAAACAGCAGCCGCAGGAAUAAGGCCAUGCAGAGUGAUAAAUGAGCUGCUCUGCCCAGCUGCAUCCAGGGCCCCGGAAGUGGCCUCUGAUGCCUGCUGUGUGCCUGUGCAGUGAUGCACUGCAUGUGCCGGGAAUUGGAGAUUCACAUUUCCCCCUGAAAACAGAGGACUACAAACAGCGUUGGCAAGGAGCCAGAGUACAGGACCAGGAGCCAGAUCAGCCAGCGCACAGAAGUUUGAAACGUGUACCUGAGUAAGGAACAAGCAGCAAGAGCAGAUAGACUGAGAAGGAAGAAAGUUCCUGUUUUCGUGCAAAAAUCUCCACUAAAAAGAAAAAGGC